AUAAGACCCUAUGCGUGUGGCAGACAUAUUCGUGUGAGCGUGGCGAGGCUUCCACCGUUUCGAAUGUCAUCUCAUUGCUCUUCAGCGGCUUGUCCCUCCUGGAGAAGCUGCCUGAGUCCGGCAAGCACAGUGUGAGCUCCGUAGCUAUCGAUCACAGAAACGUAUGUUGCAUGAUGUAAUGAAUUCAGAGCCAAGUCUGUACUGCAGUCUGUGUUGCUCGAUAUGUGUUCUCUAAGCACAGCGCAUUUUGUAUCUUCAAGGAAAACACAAUCAGAGCUCUUCAGGAAGUGCCCUCUGGAUCUGGCUAUGCAGAGGUCUUCAGGGAUCCCAGCGAACACCGUCUCUGUGAAGUGGCAGGGGGCAGCCAGCUGAGGA